UGUCUGCAGAGCCACUCUCAAGAAUGGACAGAAAGUUUGCCUCAACCCCGAAUCACCCCUGGUUAAGAAAAUAUUGGAAAAGAUGUUAAACAAGGGCAGCACCAACUGAGAGAGAAGCUCAUGGUGGCAGUUCCUGAAAGGAGGUCCCUGCUCUUACAGGACUGAAAUGAAGAUGGGAACAGCUGGGUUUCAUCAACAACUAGAAAGGGAUUACUGUGCUUGUUGUUUUUUAAACCAGAGAUCUAUUUAUUUAUAUAUGUAUUUAUUUUCAAAGCUUGUAUUUUAACAUUUUAAUGUAUUUAAAGGUGUGAAACAUGUGAAUGUGUUUAAUCAAACGUAACUCAGUUCUGAUUGUUAUUUAAUUUGAAGAUGAGGGGUUUUAAGUGUCUCAUGAAACUAAUAUUUAUUGGGAGACCAUUAAGUGAAGGGGGGGUGUAUGGGAGGGGGGAAUCUAAGCAAUUUGACAAUGAGGUAGAUCAAUAUUGGGGUCAGAGAAAGUGUGUGCACAUCUGUUUUUGUACUUGUUUAAAAUAAUGUCACUUGUUAUUUAUUGAAACUAUUUUGUUACACAGUCAACAUUUUGAUGUUGAAGAUUCCUUUGGACAUUUUAUGUCUUGCUUGUAAGGCAUAAUGCCUUGUUUAAUGUUAUUAUGCAAUAUCUCUCUUUGUCUUAUUGUAAGGCAUAAUGCCUUGGUUAAUGUUAUUAUGCAAUGUCUCUCUUUGUCUUAGAACAGAGAAGUUAAAGCUACUGUUACAUUUUUUUUACAAAUGGCUUAAAAAUAAAAGUUUUACAAAAUAUAA